rnacentral:rRNA from 1 species
UUCGCUGACGAGUGGCGGACGGGUGAGUAAUGCUUGGGAACAUGCCUUUGUGAGGGGGAUAACCGUUGGAAACGACGGCUAAUACCGCAUAAUGUCUACGGACCAAAGGGGGCUUCGGCUCUCGCGCAAAGAGUGGCCCAAGUGAGAUUAGCUUGUUGGUGAGGUAAAGGCUCACCAAGGCGACGAUCUCUAGCUGUUCUGAGAGGAAGAUCAGCCACACUGGGACUGAGACACGGCCCAGACUCCUACGGGAGGCAGCAGUGGGGAAUAUUGCACAAUGGGGGAAACCCUGAUGCAGCCAUGCCGCGUGUGUGAAGAAGGCCUUCGGGUUGUAAAGCACUUUCAGUUGUGAGGAAAGGUGUGUGGUUAAUACCCGCAUACUGUGACGUUAGCAACAGAAGAAGCACCGGCUAACUCCGUGCCAGCAGCCGCGGUAAUACGGAGGGUGCGAGCGUUAAUCGGAAUUACUGGGCGUAAAGCGCACGCAGGCGGAAUGUUAAGCUAGAAGUGAAAGCCCUGGGCUCAACCUGGGAAGGCCUUUUAGAACUGGCAUUCUAGAGUUUUGGAGAGGGGAGUGGAAUUCCACGUGUAGCGGUGAAAUGCGUAGAUAUGUGGAGGAACAUCAGUGGCGAAGGCGACUCUCUGGCCAAAGACUGACGCUCAUGUGCGAAAGUGUGGGUAGCGAACAGGAUUAGAUACCCUGGUAGUCCACACCGUAAACGCUGUCUACUAGCUGUGUGUGAUUCUAAAUUGUGCGUAGCGAAGCAAACGCGCUAAGUAGACCGCCUGGGGAGUACGGCCGCAAGGUUAAAACUCAAAUGAAUUGACGGGGGCCCGCACAAGCGGUGGAGCAUGUGGUUUAAUUCGAUGCAACGCGAAGAACCUUACCAGGACUUGACAUCCAGCGAAGUUA